rnacentral:rRNA from 1 species
CAAUAGCGUAUAUUAAAGUUGUUGCAGUUAAAAAGCUCGUAGUUGGAUUUCGGGGCAGCCUGGCUGGUCCGCCGCAAGGCGAGUACUGGUCAGCCGCCCUUCCUCUCGAAAGCCCCGACUGCUCUUUAUUGCAGUGGUCGGGUAGUUCGGGACGUUUACUUUGAAAAAAUUAGAGUGUUCAAGGCAGGCCUACGCCUGAAUACAUUAGCAUGGAAUAAUGGAAGAGGACCUCGGUCCUAUUUUGUUGGUUUCCAGGACCGAAGUAAUGAUUAAGAGGGACAGUUGGGGGCAUUCGUAUUUAAUUGUCAGAGGUGAAAUUCUCGGAUUUAUGAAAGACGAGCAACUGCGAAAGCAUUUGCCAAGGAUGUUUUCAUUAA